rnacentral:rRNA from 1 species
AACGAACGCUGGCGGCAGGCCUAACACAUGCAAGUCGAGCGAAGCCUUCGGGCUUAGCGGCGGACGGGUUAGUAACGCGUGGGAACGUGCCCUUCACUACGGAAUAGCCUCUGGAAACGGAGAGUAAUACCGUAUACGCCCUUCGGGGGAAAGAAUUUCGGUGAAGGAUCGGCCCGCGUUAGAUUAGGUAGUUGGUGGGGUAAUGGCCUACCAAGCCUACGAUCUAUAGCUGGUUUGAGAGGAUGAUCAGCAACACUGGGACUGAGACACGGCCCAGACUCCUACGGGAGGCAGCAGUGGGGAAUCUUCGGCAAUGGGGGGGCAACCCUGACCGAGCCAUGCCGCGUGAGUGAUGAAGGCCUUAGGGUCGUAAAGCUCUUUCGCCAGGGAUGAUAAUGACAGUACCUGGUAAAGAAACCCCGGUAACUCCGUGCCAGCAGCCGCGGUAAU